rfam:Streptomyces sp. NRRL B-3648 P438contig105.1, whole genome shotgun sequence.
CUUGAGCGAACCCAGGUACAGCGGCUGUCCGUCCGGCCGUCCUCGUCCGUAGGUGGCGAGGAGGGCCUGGGCCUC